AUUCCCUCUCUUCUCCUUUCUCUAUCUCUCGCAUCGCCCCCAAAAUACCAAACCCUUUCUUUCGGUUCUCAUUUCCCUCUUCCACCAAAACCCCAUCAAACCCAAAAUCCCCAAAUUGACAAAAACCCUGUAUCAUUUAAAUCUCCAAAGGGGAGAAAACCAAUAUAAAGUUAGAAACUUUAUAUGGAUUCAGAUCAGGGGAAAUUGUUUAUUGGUGGAAUUUCAUGGGAAACAACUGAGGAUAAGCUCAAAGACUACUUUGUUCAAUACGGUGACGUUGUGCAAACUGUAGUAAUGAGAGAUAAGACUACUGGUAGACCUAGGGGAUUUGGUUUUGUUGUUUUUGCAGAUCCUAACAUACUUGAUAGGGUUCUUCAAGAUAAGCAUACUAUUGAUGGUAGAACGGUUGAAGCAAAGAAAGCCUUGUCAAGAGAAGAGCAGCAAACCAAUGCCAGAUCUGGAAACCUGAAUCCUCCCAGAAAUUCUGGCAGUGGCGGAAACAUCAGGACCAAGAAGAUAUUUGUUGGGGGGUUGCCACCUGCUCUGACUGAUGAUGAAUUCCGUCAGUAUUUUGAAGCUUAUGGCCUUGUUACUGAUGUAGUAAUAAUGUAUGACCAGAACACCCAAAGGCCUCGUGGAUUUGGAUUUAUUUCCUUUGAUAAUGAGGAUGCGGUUGACCGGGUCUUGCACAAAACUUUUCAUGAUUUGAAUGGUAAGCAAGUUGAAGUGAAACGUGCUCUUCCUAAAGAUGCUAAUCCUGGUGGGGGAAAUCGCUCUAUGGGUGGGGGUGGCAACAUUGGCGGCGGCGGCGGCGGCGGUGCUGGUGGUUAUCAAGGGUAUGGUGCUUCUGGAGGCAAUGCAAGUUCAUAUGAAGGUCGAAUUGAUUCAAAUAGGUAUAUGCAGUCUCAGGGCACCGGAGGUAGCUUUCCUCCUUAUGGCUCAUCUGGUUAUAGUGGGCCUGGUUAUGGAUAUGGUCCUGCCAAUAAUGGUGUUGGGUAUGGUGGCUAUGGCAGUUAUGGUGGUGCUGGUGCUGGUUAUGGAGGCCCAGCUGGUGCUGCCUAUGGGAACCCAGCCGUCCCAAAUGCUGGGUAUGCAAGUGGUCCACCUGGUGCCCCCAGAAGCUCAUGGAGCAGUCAAGCUCCUUCUGGUUAUGGUGCUAUGGGCUAUGGAAAUGCUGCUUCUUGGGGGGCAAAUACUGGUGCUGGUAGUGGUGGUCCUGGUUCAGCACCUGCUGGCCAAUCUCCUAGCGGAAGUGCUGGGUAUGGGAAUCAGGGUUAUGGAUAUGGUAGUUAUGGUGGAAAUGAUGGCUCUUAUGGGAAUCCUGCUGGAUAUAGUGCUGUUGGAGGGCGUUCGGGGGGUGCUCCAAAUAGCAAUGUUGGUGCAGGUGGAGAACUACAGGGGAGUGGUGGUGGCUACAUGGGAAGUGACUAUGGUGAUGCAAAUGGAAAUCCAGGAUAUGGAACCGCAGGAUGGAGAUCCGAUCCAUCACAAGCUUCUGGAAAUUAUGGGACUCAAGCAAAUGGACCUCAUGGUGCGCAAGUUGGUUAUGGUGGGGGCUAUGGUGGUGCUCAGGCCCGACAAGGCCAACAACAAUGAUUGUAGACACAUUGAUGCCCACUGGAUGUUCAUUGUUGUUUGAAGGGUGCCUCUUGCUUUUGUCAUGAGGUCCCUUGCAGAUUUCUUGUUCCCAGCAGCAAGGAGCGGCUCAUAUUGGAUGCUGAUGCGCUUUGGGACCGGAGGAGAUGCUCGAGUUGUAAGGUGGAGUGACGUGUCCACUCAUGGCCGAGCUUCAUAGUGGGUGUGUGUUCAGUUGGGGGUUUUUUUCAGCGUGGAAUGGAAUUUCAAGAGGACUUGUCGAUUGAUAUUGUGAGUUAACUUGAGAAAGACCAUUUUUCAGCUAAUGGUCAAUCUUCUUUUGCAGAUUCUUGGCAUUAAAAGUUAUUAAGUUUCUCAACCAUUCCAGUUCCUGGUGGCUAGUGAGGUCUUGCGGUACGAUGAUUUUUGCAGUUAGCCAUCUCUUGAUGCGAAGAUGUGGAAACUUGAUUGUUUAGGAUAUAGUGCAUUGGAAUAGAUUAAAUAUGUCUUUCCAAACAUUUAGAGAUAGAAAUUGUCAAUAGUAAUGGUGUUGAUCGAUUUUUGGAAUGGAGCAAAAGACUUUGAUUAUAACUAUAGUAAGUUAUUUUAUAAAGAAAAGGGUGAAAGGGCCAA